GAUGAACGCUGGCGGCGUGCCUAAUACAUGCAAGUCGAGCGAACAGAUGAGGAGCUUGCUCCUCUGACGUUAGCGGCGGACGGGUGAGUAACACGUGGAUAACCUACCUAUAAGACUGGGAUAACUUCGGGAAACCGGAGCUAAUACCGGAUAAUAUAUUGAACCGCAUGGUUCAAUAGUGAAAGACGGUUUUGCUGUCACUUAUAGAUGGAUCCGCGCCGCAUUAGCUAGUUGGUAAGGUAACGGCUUACCAAGGCAACGAUGCGUAGCCGACCUGAAAGGAUGAUCGGCCACACUGGAACUGAGACACGGUCCAGACUCCUACGGGAGGCAGCAGUAGGGAAUCUUCCGCAAUGGGCGAAAGCCUGACGGAGCAACGCCGCGUGAGUGAUGAAGGUCUUCGGAUCGUAAAACUCUGUUAUUAGGGAAGAACAAAUGUGUAAGUAACUAUGCACGUCUUGACGGUACCUAAUCAGAAAGCCACGGCUAACUACGUG
rnacentral:rRNA from 1 species